rnacentral:rRNA from 1 species
UACGUAGGGGGCAAGCGUUGUCCGGAAUCAUUGGGCGUAAAGCGCGUGUAGGCGGCCCGACAAGUCUGGUGUGAAAACUUGAGGCUCAACCUCAAGCUGUCACUGGAUACUGUCGGGCUUGAGUCCGGAAGAGGAGAGUGGAAUUCCUGGUGUAGCGGUGGAAUGCGCAGAUAUCAGGAGGAACACCAAUGGCGAAGGCAGCUCUCUGGUACGUGACUGACGCUGAGACGCGAAAGCGUGGGUAGCAAACAGG